rnacentral:rRNA from 1 species
UACGGGGGGGGCAAGCGUUGUUCGGAAUUACUGGGCGUAAAGGGCUCGUAGGCGGCCAACUAAGUCGGACGUGAAAUCCCUCGGCUUAACCGGGAACUGCGUCCGAUACUGGAUGGCUUGAGUAUGGGAGAGGGAUGCGGAAUUCCGGGUGUAGUGGUGAAAUGCGUAGAGAUCCGGAGGAACACCAGUGGCGAAGGCGACACGCUGGGCCGUACCUGACACUGAUGCGCGACAGUAUGGGGAGCAACAGG